rnacentral:rRNA from 1 species
ACGGAGGGUGCGAGCGUUAAUCGGAAUUACUGGGCGUAAAGCGCGCGUAGGCGGUUUGUUAAGUCAGCUGUGAAAGCCCUGGGCUCAACCUGGGAACUGCAGUUGAUACUGGCCGACUGGAGUGCGGGAGAGGGAGGUAGAAUUCCAUGUGUAGCGGUGAAAUGCGUAGAUAUAUGGAGGAAUACCGGUGGCGAAGGCGGCCUCCUGGCUCGACACUGACGCUGAGGUGCGAAAGCGUGGGGAUCAAACAGGA